rnacentral:lncRNA from 1 species
UGAUUUCUUCUUUUCCUCAUUCCCAUCAUCUCAUUUCUCCUUUACCUUCGACUGUCUGCAACUCAUGGGCAAUGGUGGUGAUGAUUGGCGGUGAUGAAACAAUGGAGAACCUCUCCACGUUUCUUCUCUUCCAAGCAACAACAAAGCUGAUGAUGAAUUGAUGACGGUUUGGAAUGACGGUGAUGACCACGACAAUGUCUCGGUUUUUAGAUCUAGAUUUAGAUCUAGAUCCAGUUUUGUUUUGCAUAUUUAAUUUGUACUAAGGAGUAUUGUUGUACUUUAGUGGAGGCGGCGAGUUGAGGGAGGCCCUGUUUUCUCUGCAUUGCCGGGGGCUUGGUUACCGGAGCGAAAACAUGAACUAAGUGCUCUGAUGGCUUGACGGUGGGUGAAGGCUCCGAAACAGAUACGUCGGUGUUCUGGUUUUGUCUUGCCGGAGACUCUGAAACUGCUUCUAUCUGCCGGUUUGUGAUUAGUUUUGUAACAUUUUUCUUUUCCGGUGAGAUUUUUGGGUCGGCUCCUAAUUGUACGGUGGUUCUCAUGUCUCUUUAUGUAAAUUAUUUUUUAAUAAAGAGGAUCUACACAUGUAUGUUAUUCAUGAAGCUUUUUCUUACCAUGGUUUUCCAUUAAGAUGGAGAUGAUACACCUCCAUGUAUGUAUAUAUAUGUAUAUGUAUGUAUAUAUAUAUUUGUUUUAUUCAAUAAAUAAUUUAAAUUUCUGA